UAUACAUUGAUUCAUUGCUAAUUAUAUAUCUAUGGAUGUGAUUUCAGGUGAAUUAGACAUGUAGCCAACCAUUUUCUCUUCAAGGCAUGACCUUGGUUUAAAAAAGCGGGAAGCGCACAAAAGCGACGAGGUCUAAAACAGAAGCGCAAAAGUGGUGACCUUUUCGUACGCAAUUAUGGGUUGGAUUGGACCUGACUGAAGAUUUAUGAGUUUCAAGCAAUUUUUCUUUACCUGUAUGAACUGCACUUUGUUUGCGACUUGCCGAGUUAUUAUGUUAAACUAUGUAAGCAAAGAUAAUAUUGUCUUUAUAUAUGGGGUUUAGGUGAUUGAGAAGUGGUAGGUAAGUAUGGCUGGGAAAUCAAGCAUAGGCUGCGAAAUGCUGCCAAACUGGUCGUCUCUGUUUGAAUUUUAAUCUUGGGUGUCAAAUCACAAUCGAAUUACUUAGGUUUU